GACGCUAUGCGCCCUCUAAAAUACCCGUAGAAAGUGGUAAAUUUCAACCACAUUCCUAAUCAGUGCAGGAGUCUGGAGAAUGAUGUGCGUUUCAAGUUUUCCUCUGUGAGACCGAUGGACAAGUGGAGAUAAGCGAAUUGAACGUUGUUACCAGAACGAGGCUGAUAAUCAAAAUCUGCUUGCCUGAUACCGAUGACGAGGAGCGACGAUCACGAUAGAAGCUUCUGGUUUGGCAAGCGGUUCCAAUAAUAGUAGCGCACAGUUAGGUGGAUGACCAAUGAACGAGGAUACCACUCAGUUACCAAUAGCAUUACCGUGCUAGCAUAUAUAAACUCCAGGCACCUACGAGGUGUAGCUUGGAGUGACAUCUAUAGGAUACGCCAAGUGUGCACCUUUAUCAAGACAGGUUGAACGGCACGAGUAAACUGACGAAUCUUAUCUACUGUAGAACGGCGUGAGAUAGUUAUCAUGAUGUGUGCUUCGACUAAUAGAUCAGCGUGAUGAUAGCACCGCUUGAUAUGGGAGGAGAUCGUUAUAUAAAACGGAGACGAAUAUACUCUAAUGAACUACACAGUCAGUGGCACUGGGUGACCGUAUAAACAUUUUAGACCACCAAGACAAAAUGGAAACGUUUGCAUCAUGUAGCCUAAGUCGCACGCCUAUCCACAGAUAGUUAGACGAAGGAACUAGACGUCUUUUAUCUGUAAUAGUACGUUUCUUCAUUCUAACAUUCGUGUGCUUCAGGCCUCAAAGAAAGGGCAAUAGAUCAGCGACUGAAUUCGAUAUUAUGCAGAUGUAAAUAGCAAUCAUUUUGCUCCUGACAUUUCUUCAGGGAGUCGGACAUCCCAUCAGCAUCUCACUGCAUAUUGAUAUCAGACCACGUGUCACUUAUGGACCUCAGAGCAGAUCGAGACAGAGAGGGAGGGAGGAAGAAAAUGAAAGAGAGAGGAAGAGGGUAAUACAAGUCAAUCUCGAUUCGGAUUGGUGUCAUCUGAUAGUGUAGAGUAAUGGCUAUUCGAGUUUCAUAAAAUCCUCAAACAUAUUGUUACAGCUUCGAACACGAUCAUACGUAUGCAAACGUGCUUUGUAUUAUAACUACUAGAGGAUUCCGACUUGCUUGCAUUGCAAAUUAAAGUAAUAGACCGCAAUACAAUUCUAAAUGAACGUUAUGAUUAAAUGAAGAUCUUUUCCACGCACACGGAAAAGGAUCCCACACAGCCAGUGGGUUAACAUAGAGCAAUGGCAACCAGUCGUCCCUAGUUAUUCGACUCUGUCGUCAUUAUGAAAGCACAUCACUAUCACAGAUAUAGCAUUCCUCUUUAGAUUUAAGCCUGGCCUACACAUGGAAUAUAAUGAUGUUUAUCUUUCAAAUUGGGGCGGCACAUUUUGAAACAGCGGAAAAGGUUAUGUUGUUCUACUCACUCCAUCGAGACUCAUUGUUUAUCACCAUUUACUAAGUGAAUCCUUUAUGAUUUAAGCAUAUUGGUUCGGUAGAAUGUAUCAUUUCUGUAAAAUAAAUCAUUUCUCAGAAGCACUAGAGAAACCGUAAUACUUACGGCCAUUGGCAUACAAUUUGCGUACUAUAAAAGGGGAAAUUACAUUUAUUUCUAUAUAGGAUUAAAAUAUAUAGGCUGGCCUAGUAAAGGAGCGUUU